UGUCAAGAAAAGUAAAAGCUCCCGCUGACUGGCAACUGCUUGGGGCUCUGCUCUCUCGUCUUGUUCUCUCUCCUGCGUCUGCGUUGCGUUUCGUUUCGUUUCGUUUCGUUUCGUUUCCUUAGAUGAAAUUUAGAGCGCUCUCUCUUCCUACUGACGGAUUGGAAUUGGAUUGCUCCUCUUCUCCAUAUCGUUGGGAUCUGUCCGCCAAACUAGAAGAAAGAGAAGCAAUGGGCUUCGAGCAUCGCUUCGUUAAGAUGGACGCUUCAUCGCUCUUCCUUUCCUUUUUUUCGACGCCGAGUGAUUGAAUGAGGUUUCUGCUUUGUUCUUCAUGCUGGACCAUAGAGGGACAGUGGAAGCUCGAUUGGUAGGAAACGCCAAAGCUCUCAUUUUCCCCUUCCUGGAGUUGGAAAUCAAAGUAUUUUGACCUUGAUCUUCCUAAUCCUGGGUACAAUGUGGCAAUCAAAUGGGCAACUAUCACUCCAGGUACUGUAUUUAGAGAGCCAAUCCUGUGCAAGAAUGUUCCUCAGUUCGUCCCAGGUUGGACGAAGUCAAAUAUGCAUUUGAAGGCAUGCUUUUGGUGAUCAAUAUCGGGCUACUGACACUGUCAUUAGAGGAGCUGGGAAACUCAAACUUGUCUUUAGUAAGAGUUGGGCGUAUGGCUCACAUGAUCCUCUGUUUUUUGUGGUAAUAUGCUAUUGCAUGAGAUUGGAUACUUAUAGUUGAUACUUGAUACUUAUAUAGACUACGACAUGCAUAUCUGUAGUAACAGAAGGAAAAGAUGAGAAAACUGAGUUGGAAGUUUUGAACUUUACUGGUGCCUGUGGAAUUGCGCUUUCAAUGUAUAAUACAGAUGAGGUUUUGCUCUUAGGACUUUAUUUUGAAUGCACCUAUUAAACUUGUUAUUAGGGGCCAAGAAGAAGCUCUUGGACUUGCAUCUAUCUGUGUAACCUGGAUCCAAGUAUAUCUGUGCUAUGAUGCAGUCCAUACGUGCAUUUGCUUUCUCUUCAAUGAGCUCUGGUUAUCAGAAGAAAUGGCCUCUUUAUCUUAGCGCCAAAAACACUAUUCUCAAGAAAUAUGAUAUGUAUUAUGUCAGCAUUAUGCUUUUCAGUAUUAUGCUCCAUACUUACUGCCUUUUUCUCUUCAUACCAUCCGGCCAUCUGUUAUUGCACCCUUGAAGAUUCAAAGACAUGUUCCAAGAAGUGUAUGCGGCUGUAUGGAAAUCAAAGUUUGAGGCUGCUGGGAUAUGGUGAGAUGUUCUAGUGUGUCACUUAAAAAGUUGACUGGGACAAGUUUGUAUUUCUAUCGCUUUUUUACAGGGAAAAUGGAAAGGUAUGAACAUUGUCUUAUUGAUGAUAUGAUGGCUUAUGGCCUUCGGACUUAUGGUGGAUACUUAUGGGCAUGCAAGAACAAUGAUGGGGAUGUCCAGAGUGACUUCUUAGCUCAAGAAAAGCCUUCUGAUUGCACAAUAAUGGUGUUUGACUGAAGGCCUUGGAUCUCUUGGGCUGAUGACAUCUGUGCUGAGUUCCACUUAUCUCAGGUUUGCCCCGAUGGGAGGACAAAAGAAGCAGAGGCAGCUCAUGGUAUCGUGACCUGCCAUUACAGGGCUCACCGGAAGGGAGGUGAAACUAGCACAAAUAGCAUAGCCUCUACUUUUGCUUGGUUGAGAGAUGAUGUUGAUAGGGUUAUGAGGGAGCAGUACCUUAACACAGAAGAGUUCCAUAGAUGCUGUGGCAGCUGAGCUACAGCCAAGGCUUACAUGCUAAAAGCUUCUAAUUUUAGUGAUUUCCUACUGGAUUUACUUGGCUACACAGAAGAUAAAAGGGAGGGGGGGGGGGGGGGGGGGGGGGGGGGGGGGGGGGGGGGGGGGAGAGAGGAGUUGAAGACAGAGUGUAGGGAGGGGUCGGAUGGAUGAAAUAAAAGGUAAAAGGGUUUGUUGUUUGGGAGGGCAUUUCUUCUCUCCUUUAAAAAAAUUCCAAUUGCCUUUCUUUUCUUUUUUUUCUUUUUUUUUCCAAUUGAUUACUUUGGAUUGGGGAUGGGAGCUAUAUAUAUAUAUAUAUUUCUUUGAAAGCACUUAUGCGCAUGGAUGGGAUGGAUGGAUUCUAUUUUUAAAUCGAUCACCUGUGCCUGAGCUGUUGAGCACCUUCGCCCUCUUGAAUUGAUCAGGAGAUUGUGUUUGUUGUGGUGGCAAUGUCAUGUAAUUUUAUGCAUUCAUUUCAUCCACCCAUUAUUAUGUUUGCUGCUGCUGCUUCUUAUA